CAGUGCUGCCCUUCCUGGUGCUCAGCUUCUGCAGCAGCUCUCUCUGCCUGGAGCUCAGCUCCCGCAGCCUGGCCACCUCCUGGCACAGCUGGAGGAAUAUUUCACCUAUUUCCAUCACUCCUGGUCAGGGAAGAAGCUGUGUGUUAUCCAAAGGCUGCAAGGAGGGGACAUGGGGAUGCGCUGCGCUCCGUCCUACUGUGGGAUCUCUGGAGAUGUCGGUGAUUCACUGCAAUGGAAAGAAGUUGUAGUUGCAGUUUUGUUGUGAUUUCAAAGAAAUCAAAUAGCUGAAAAGGGAAGUGAUGCUGUCCAAAGGAGGGGAUAACCCGACUACUGAGCUGGGUUUCUCAGUCUCUCUACCUACAGUGAAGUUCAAGGCCUCUUGAUGGAGGGAUUGGAUCUGCCCAGAGCAGGGGGCUGUGAGGACCCACCCGAUGGUUCUGUGAUCCUAAAGGACCUUUCCAACCCAAUCAUCUCAAGGUUCUGAGACCUUUAUGUUCCCUCCCAAUCCAACCACCCCACAGUUCUGUGGUCUCUAAGAACCCUUCCAGCCCCCAGAUAUGCUGUGAUUCCAUGAUGCUUUCUUUUUGCAGUGCUUCACCACCACUCAGAGCUGCGAAUUUAAGCCCUGCUGCUGUAAUUAGGGGCUCAGCUGAUGGCUUUGGGGAUGUCUCCUCUGCCACCCGGAGCAACGUGGGUUCCCCAAGAGGAGUGAAGGGCAGGAAUCCCAAUGGAGAUGAAGGAAACCAGCACCAAGAGAGCUGCAGACAUCAUGGCAAGGUCACCAUCAGCAAAGGGUUUUCUGUGCUUCUCAGCCCAAAACGAGCUGUGAUGGGGGCUGCGUUGUGCUCUCAGCUCUUUGGGCCCCCGCUGGUUCUUAAAAACCAAGCAGUCCCAACCUGCAAAGCAGCUAACUAAUUAAAGAUUAAGAGGAUAUAUUUUGUCUCGGAGUUAUAUAUAACUGUGCCAAUUAAUUAUUAAGAAGUGUGUGAUUUGGAGCUGCCGUUCCCAACAAGCCCAUAUUGAUUUUAUACGAGCCCUGCUGGUUUCUCAGUAGUUAACCACAGUUUAAUUUCCCCCCCCAAAUUACCACCUUGUUGUUAGGAGGACGGGGGGUCUUAACCUCCCAUAACCCAGAGAAGCAUCUCCUAAAUUGGGAUUAAAGAUGCAUCUGGGGGUGCAGGUGAUCAGGGCUCAGAGGGGCACAACCCACAUCCUCCCUCAGUGCUGGGGUUGCUUUAAUACAGCAAAAAUCCCACCCCCCCCCCUCCCCUCCAAACUCCUCCACCCCAUAUCCCUCCAUAUAACCCAAUGGGGACCCCAUGAAACCCCAGGGCUGCAGUUUGGGGAGCACACUUACAGUGGUGGGGGGCCCUUCUGCCCCUGUUCCAGCAGCCACAGCUCAGCAUCGGCCUCUGAGUGCAACUGAAAGAGCUUCUCUAACAGAUAAAAUCCGGGGCAGGGAAUUUCCCUUCAGUUUUACAGCGCUCAGAGCGAAACCUCAGAGCAGCAGCGAGGCAGGAAAUACAGCAGCAGUGAAUUACAGGCAGCAAAACCCAGGGCUUAAAAUUAGCUCUCAGGAGUCCGGCAGGCGAUGCUGAAGGCCAAUGGUGGUGAGUCUGGGCUCUCCUCUGCUCCGUGCCAGGUAAGCUGUUGUCUGUUCUGUGCCUCAGUUUCCCCCUGCCCUUCUCAAGCAACGUGUUGGUGCUUCAUUGUGUUGGGGAUUUGCACAUCUGUGAUGCCGACAAAGCCCUGCCCGACUGAUCCUCUGUAAGGCAGCUAAUAUUCAAUCUCACAUCCCAAUAAUCCAACGUAAUUCUCACUCCAGCCCAGCUCAAAUCCCUCAAAUCCCCCCAUACAGCUCAGGAGCCAACACAAAAUGCUCAGCAGGAGAUUCAAACCCUCCCAGCGUUCGUGU
rnacentral:lncRNA from 1 species